rnacentral:tRNA from 1 species
GGCUGUGGUGUAGUGGUUAUCACGUCCUUCCCUCAUAUUGGACGUCGCAAGUUCGAAUCUCGGCAAGUUA